AUCCAGCUGACGAGUCCCAAAAAAUAGGACGAAACGCGCAUCAAACUGGAU
rfam:Schistosoma mansoni strain Puerto Rico chromosome 5, complete genome